GGUCAAUGAUGAAAUCUUGCCUUGUCUCUAGAGAGGUGUUAUUUUAAAAGUCAUGUGCAAUAUAGUUAUGCUGAGGACC
rnacentral:snoRNA from 1 species